UCGGAUAUGGUGUAAUGGCUAACAUUACCGCCUUUCAUCGACAUUGAUUGACAUACACUUGCGCGGUAGCUCGGGGUUCGAUUCCCCGUAUCCGAA